CAUUUUUGAUUAAAUUAUGUUUAAUAAUACUAUAGCUAUACAUAGGUGGUAAAUGGUUUUAUUCGUAUUGUUUAUAUUAAUUCUGAUAAAAAAUGAUCGAUAACAUACUUAAAGCUUUUUUUAUGAGGCCAAAAAUGUUCUCAGGUGAAUCUGGAAUAUAAUUAUAUUACUGUAUAAGGAGUUAUUUAUAUGGGUGGAUAGGUACCGUUCCUGAUGAAUUUGUAUUGUUUUCUAUUAAACAUAUUAUGUACAAUUUCUUUUUUGUAUUUAAGUGUAGACUAUUAGAAAAGAUUUACUUUUCUAUCGGAACGUUGUCACUAUACACUGUCCGGCGAGAGAACUCGCUGAUUCUGCGCAUCCCCCCAAGUUGCCGGCCAUGCUAUUGAAACCGGUUCCCUAUGGCUGGGUGUGGUGUAGGGAUACGCAAGGCACAGACAGAAAUUAUACAUAUUACUAUUAAUAUUUUAUUAAAUUAUUUGUAUUUACAACCAAGUAAUAUCAAUGUAUAAAACCAUUAAAACCAACAAUUUCAACUGAUAACAGCUAAGUUAUUUCAACAGUUAAUUUAGCUUCUAAGUUUUGAAAUGAUUCGAAAAUUAAUUAACUAAUUAGGAUAAAAAUAAUAAAAUUAAUGAACUUUUUAGCUUGUUUAAACUUUUUAACUAGCCAAGGCCCCACCACUUUUUCAAUACUGCAUGAAAAUAAGCAUUCGAGGACCAGACACUCGAGCAGGCUAGCAUGUUAUAUAGACUUUUACUCACGUAGAAGAGGAGACAGAAGUGCUUUUUGUUCAUAAUUAAAUACGUUGUGGGAUGAAAAAACAGAAAUAGAAGACGGUGGAUAUUUUAGUGGCUAUAUAUAUAUCAGAGACUGUCCUAAAAUUAGGCCCCGGUCUUCGAAAUGCAGAUCAGCAUUCAGCACACACAGGAGCAACUUUUGUACAGCUGAAGUUGAGGGGACGUCAAGGUCAUCGAACGUUUGUUUAGCUGAAUCGACCACCCGCUCGUCGAAUCGAAAUUCAUUUUUAAGAUCUUUACAGUUGAAUUGAAAGUCGUUACUGGUGCGUCAGACUUGUUGGAUCGAGCGCCAAUCGAAUGCGUAUAUUGUGACCUAAUAUCGCAAACGACCAAUACAGGUUAUUGAAGUUUGGUAGUCUGACACUUCAGGUCGUUGAGAUUGUCACUGAUGGCCGAGAACUGUACUCGACCACCGCCCACGUUUCGCAGCUAAAAUCGUGGAAGAUCGUCAGUUCACCAGGCGACGAAGAAGUGGAGUUCGGCGAGGAGGUAGAAGUACCCAUCCCAGGGGAAGUCUAUACCAACUCGUCAAAGACGUCUUCCUAACCGUUUCAUAUAGAUCAUAUUAUAAACAUAUGUUUAGUGGUUUUUUUUUACGUAA